UUUCCAUCCAGCCCUCUGAAUCUCUGCCUGACUUCCAAGGUCACACUGUUGAUCACUGCUAUCCGAUUGGGUUUGUAUAUGUGAGAAGGAAUUAAGGCUUUGAGGAUCAUUUGAGAUCAAGUAUAAAACACUGGAAGUGUAUGUGUGCACUAAGAAAGAAGAAAUUCUUCCCAAAACAUGAGCACCAUAUGACCAGAUCCUUGGAGAUACAAAAGCAAAGAGCCUCUAGCCUAGAAAGGCAACAGCAAUUUCACAGAGCUAAAACCAAAACUUGUGAACAGAAGAUCACGAAA